rnacentral:rRNA from 1 species
UGCAGUCGACGAUGAACCUCCUUCGGGAGGGGAUUAGUGGCGAACGGGUGAGUAACACGUGGGCAAUCUGCCCUGCACUCUGGGACAAGCCCUGGAAACGGGGUCUAAUACCGGAUACGACUCGGGAGGGCAUCCUUCCGGGUGGAAAGCUCCGGCGGUGCAGGAUGAGCCCGCGGCCUAUCAGCUUGUUGGUGGGGUGAUGGCCUACCAAGGCGACGACGGGUAGCCGGCCUGAGAGGGCGACCGGCCACACUGGGACUGAGACACGGCCCAGACUCCUACGGGAGGCAGCAGUGGGGAAUAUUGCACAAUGGGCGAAAGCCUGAUGCAGCGACGCCGCGUGAGGGAUGACGGCCUUCGGGUUGUAAACCUCUUUCAGCAGGGAAGAAGCGCAAGUGACGGUACCUGCAGAAGAAGCGCCGGCUAACUACGUGCCAGCAGCCGCGGUAAUACGUAGGGCGCAAGCGUUGUCCGGAAUUAUUGGGCGUAAAGAGCUCGUAGGCGGCUUGUCGCGUCGGAUGUGAAAGCUCGGGGCUUAACCCCGGGUCUGCAUUCGAUACGGGCAGGCUAGAGUGUGGUAGGGGAGAUCGGAAUUCCUGGUGUAGCGGUGAAAUGCGCAGAUAUCAGGAGGAACACCGGUGGCGAAGGCGGAUCUCUGGGCCAUUACUGACGCUGAGGAGCGAAAGCGUGGGGAGCGAACAGGAUUAGAUACCCUGGUAGUCCACGCCGUAAACGUUGGGAACUAGGUGUUGGCGACAUUCCACGUCGUCGGUGCCGC